rnacentral:lncRNA from 1 species
CCCCCCUCUCUCUUCCUCUCUUCCACUCUUGAAGCCGACCCAAUUCCUCUCCUCUUGGCUGCAGCCGCCCACUCCCCAUCAAACCCUAGCCACCCCUUCCCCAAUCCCCCUCCCAAGGUGUAGCCCCUGUCCUUUGGGAUCUCCAUUGAGUGGUGCAAGCCUCUAAUUGGAGAAUUGGUGGAGGAAGAACAAAGAGGUGAAGGAAUAACUCAAGGUGAUCUUAUGUUUAUUUUGUAUUUUUGCUGCGAUUACGUUUGAUUAACCGUUCCCCUAAGCGAAUUGGUGGUAGUGUUGUCCUGAUUUUGGGUGGCAGGCGGACAGAAGUAUUGUGGGCAGUUUCUGGGGUUUUUGCGGCGGUAAUUAGCUGUAAUCACUAUGAUAAUCAUGUAGAGCUUUGUCAUACCUUUCCAACGAGUACUUAUGUGCUCGAUUCGCAGUUAUAAUUUAUGAGAUAUCUCUGUUUGAAUCCGGGUAUGUUGCUGUCCAAAAAACAGAUUUCCGCAGGUGGGCGAACAGCAUUAGUAUUAGCAGAUUCUGGGUAUUUUUCGUGGGAAAUUAGUGAUAAUAAAUAUGAUAAUCAUGUAGAGCUUUGUCAUACCUUUCCAACGAGUACUUAUGCGCUUGAUUCGGAGUUAUAAUUUAGGAGCUAUCGCUGUUUGAAUCCGGGUACAUUGCUGUCCAAAAACAGAUUGCAGGAUGUAUCUUGUGGACGGUUUUGGGCUAAGUAGAUGUGGAAAUUUAAUUAUCUUUGGAAUACAAAACUUGUGGGGAAUUUUAUGUAGAUGCUUCUGGAGUUUUUGAUUGAUAUCACUGCUAUUAUAAUUUUAAAGUUAUGAAAUUAUCAAGCAGCGCCGCUGCAAUUUGGUGGUGAUGGGGAGAGUUGUCGCUCGCGACGGGUUGGAAUUGUGCGUAGGUGCGGCAUGUUUAUUAGCGUUUGUUAUGUGAAUUUGUGCACUAAGGUGUGUGUCAAAAACAGGUGGUGGACUUCCGGAUCGUACAUAGUACCAUUCCAAAUUUCCGGUGAAGGCAAGUAAAUACAGUGGUGGUUGCUACCGUUUGGUUUGCAUCCUAUUCCCUGUCAUUGAGUAUGCAUAAGUUUUUAAUAUAUUAAUCAUUGAAUUCUAUGAUGAAGUUUAUUGGUUUGAAAGUAUUAAUUCUCAAUUGUCUAAUAUUGUGGAUGAUCAUAAUUUGAUAAUGAUAUAUGUGGUUGAUUCCCAUCUUGGAUGAAGUUGAAGUGUCUUUUUGAAUCACGUUAUAUGAAGUGUUGUAGGCAUAUCAUGCACAUCGCAUCAUCCAUCUUGCAUUUUGAAGUUAUGUCGUGAUCUUAUGGUCCGACCGUACCGGUACAUUUUUAGCAUCGUACGUUGCCCGAGGAGGGGUACGAUGCGGCUUCAUAUCCUUAGAGGUAUGAAGGCAGAAGUCAUCCUUGCAUUUGCAGACAUUUGCACUCAUGAGGAAUAUAUGAAGUGUGACAUUACUAUGUUACUAUUGUGGUUUCUACCUGCGAGGUGUGGUAACUAGGUGUGUUGUACGUUGUAUACGUGCUGCACCUUCGUAAUAAGAAGGUUGUGGAAUCAAGUGGUGGUAAAACAAUGUUCUUAUGUGGUUGAACAGUUUGAUAUUAUUUUACUUGCUGAGAUGUGUCAUCUCACUCUUGCAUUACUCAAUGCAGGUACUUGAUACAUGUUGGGAAUGAGGGGAGUAGCAGCACGUCCACUUUCACUCUCACAAUAACGCUGCCCAGGCGUAGCCAUGAUUUAAUUAGAAACUUAUUGUCAAAGGAAGUUUGUUUUUUAUAUAGUCGUGCGCACUGGUUAAUUCAGUUCAGGUCGUAUGUUUAUCUUCCCUUGCUAGCCGAUUAAUAAUACUUAGUAUGUUUUUGUCAUGAUAUAUGUUUAUACCCUGUUGCCCCCUCAUUUAUGCAAUCUUGCAAAGGGGGUGCUGCCGAAAUUUUAUAUAUGGACGUCGGAAGUGUAGUUCAGUAGCAUUCCGGGUUGUUUGUGGAACCCAGGGUGUUACAGUUGGUAUCAGAGCAUAGGCUUUAGAUUCUACGCAAUUUGAAGAUAAAUUUGACACACUUGCACAUAUAGGAAGGGUAUGGGUUCAUAUAUCUUUCAUAUUAGUAUUUUAUUGUAUAGAUGGCUAGAAUUUCCUUACUCCAAAUCCCUUUAUGGUUUGAUGGGGUAUGUCGUUAACGACGUAAUGCUUGAUAUGAUAUGUUACUUCUAUUUAAUAUUGGUUUCUUGAUGUGGUUGUUAUUGAAAUUAUUAUGCAAGUGAAGCUACUAAUGUACUUGUUUUAUAUACAUAUCGUCAUGAUGUUUUUUUUGGAUGCAAUGUUUACUAAUCUCUGAGCUAUUACUAUCAUACAUUUAUGUAUGCUUGACUGUGGAUGUUUUUUUCCAAAAGGAUUCUUGGGUUCUAGUACUUGUAGGACCGAUUGUUUAUUGAGCUUGUGUAUAGAGGAUCUAAUCCGACUUGGUGUAAUGUGAAAACACUAUACAAUGUAGUUUUAUGGUGUUGUUGAGUUUGAUUGACUGUUGGGUUACAACCCAACUUAUCAAUGUAAUAUUUCCAUGGGUGCAGUGCUUUACACCUCACCUUUUUUUUGUCUAGUGUGGCUACUUGCCAACUUGAUCUUAGAGUACAAUAGGUUUGUCUCCAUAGAUAAAGGCAAUGUUGUACUGUCUAUGAAAUCUUGAGCCUGGUAGAACUCAAGUGAAUUUGUAAGAUGACGUGGAUAGAUAACUUCAACCAUGUUUACAUGAUAGGUUUUCUUAUUUGUGUGCAACCUUAUCUUUAAUAAUAAAUAGGGUGAUUUCAAAUGGAUUUUAUGUCUAUAUUAUAGUUGAAGAGGCAUGCAUGUUUUCCUUCUUUGGUUUGUUUCUAUAGCCAAAAAGGUUAUGCAUAAUUUUUAUUUGUUGGAGGCUAGUCAUGUGGACGAUAUGGACAACCCGUUUUAUAUUGUUUUUAAUCGCCGAUGAUAUAUGGUAGUUUUUUUAUAUGAUCAGUUCUCUAUGCAUGCUUGUUGAAUUAUUAUUUGGACCGCUUUAUCUUAAACAAAGUCAAUGUUUAACUGGAAGUUGCUUAUGUUUGUUAGUCAUCUAUCUCUAUAAUGAUGUGGUUGUUGCAUCAGAUGGAGAUUUUUUAUAUGAAUGAUGGUUUGAUAGAUCAUGUAUGUCUACUACUUUGAAGUCAUCCUAUGACAUCACGAGGUACAAAUUGUUCAAGUGCAAUAAUAGGAGGUAUUGUUGUAUGUGAGGUUAAUCAAGGUAGUUUGGUUAGGUGGAUUGUCUUAUUGAAGUCCAAUUACUCCUGUUGAGCAUAGUAUCGUGUUAUUAUUUUAGUGUUGAAAGUAAUAUUUAUGAAGCUUUUGCAUGAGUCUGUGUCAAGAAGUACAUUAGUUUUUCUUGUUGUUAUCCCUCCAUUGCUUCAUGAGUAUUGCAAAUUUUAUCUCUUUUGAGAGGAGAAAAAGAUGUUAUAUGACAUGAGCACCAUUUGCUUCACGUCAACAUAAUAGUUUUGGAGAUUUCUAGUAGUUGGAUUCUAGUGUAAUAACAACCAUGUUUUAUAGUGCUGGAGACGGGUAUGUCACGUGUUUCAUACAUUGUCGAUACAUGGAUGUUUGACCUUAGUGGCAUUAACAAACGAGGUUGUUGAAUUCAUUGAUUGUUGUGCUUAGUGUUCUAACCUAUUUGGUAGAGUGUUAUUUAAAGACUUUGUGGAGUUGCAUCCCAGUUUGGUAGUGGAAAAUCCUAAUGUUGAUUGCACCUGCCAAUGACUUGGGUUUUAUUUUAUAUUGUUUUUUAUUGUUGAUAAUGUGUUGUUUGGUUUUGGGAGGCAUUUUAAAUUAGUUGGAGGCUGAAUCAGGCUUCACUUAUCUAGAAUGUUUUGUAGUAUGUUUCUUCAUCUUUCCAUAGGAUGCUUAAUCACCAUGUUUGGUCUAAACAUUUGAGAGAUAUGGGUUUCUUAAAACAUCCUUGUUGGUGUCUCUAGCAGAGUGAGUCUUUAAUUUUGUACGGAAGAGUAGACAUUGAAGACGGUAUAAUUUGGUCUUUGUGGAUUAUGAAAGUUUUAGUAAUUUCAUGAUCUUUUCAAAGAGUAUUGGUUUCUAAUUCUCAUUGCAUAUAAUUGGAGUUAGGUUGCUCUGAAGUUGUCGCACUGUUGUGUCUGAACUUUAGGCGUCGUUAUAAUCACCAAUAAAUCGACCGCGUUUUGAUAGUUGCAGAGCCCAAAUUUGCGAAUUAUCUUUAAGCAAAACUUGUAGGUCUUUUCAGUACCUUUUUAAUGGGUAUUUACUUGUAACUGUCUGUUAAAUAGAUUUGGAGAGGUGGUUGCCCGGAUAUAAGUCGAAUCUCUAAUGUGCAGUAUCUCAGGCUGAGUUUAGCUGUAGGUCAUGCAGAGUUGAGGGCUAUAAGGAUAAAUUUGGGUGCAACUUUAUUGCAAAAGUCGUGGACAAUUUUCAAAACUUUUCCAACGCGUGUUCGUUGUAGUUUAAGUUGAGUAUAGCAGGAGUUAUAGGUUUUUGAAUUUUAGUUGUCCAUUGUUUCAAUUCUAUCAGUUUUGCAACAAAAGAGUUGCAUUGUUUUAUCGGUUUGGAAACCAAUUCCGAGACACUCAUUAUAAUAAAAGUUCUAGGGAAUGUUAUAAUCUUUUCAAUGAGUUUAUAUUUGCAAAAUUUUGUUAGCUGCAGGGAGUUAUGAUAUAAUGUAUAGAAUGUGCUUGGAUGAAUAUGUGGGCAGACAUAACAUGCUUAAAUUGAUUCUUGUUUGCAUGAUGUGAGAUUAGGCUUAAAUGAUUUAGAAAGUUAUCAUAUUGCUUCUAUACUUAUAUUUGUUCUAGGUGCCUCGUAAUGAAGAACCUAAAGUUAUUAGUCUUUCAAUGAACGCUUAAUCUUAGAAGAGUAAUGAACCUGAUAAAAUCUAUUGCUUGCUGUAGGGACUGCAUGACCAGUUUUAGUUAUGCAGCUAGUUCAAUGAAGUAAACCAUCUUUUCUAUAGAGAUGUUAUAUAUAAAAGUUGUAGCCAACUUCUUUAUCUUACUUGUGUAAAAAUUUCAUGACCAUAGGUCUAGUAGUUUGGGAGUUAUGAUUUUCUCAAGUCCAGUCUUGAAAUCUGUGCAGAUUCUGUACAGAUUUCGAAGCUGACCUUGUUUGCCCAAUUUAAACUUCGAAUAACUUAUUAUAAAUUAUAAAGAAGUUGUAGUACUUUUCUUAAUCUUUUCAACAAAUUUUGGAUUACUUUUUUUGGAGAUCUAUAAGUUAAGUUACAGUUGUUUUAAGUGUGAUGUCUGAAUCUGUCCAAAUUUGGACAGCAGAGCCUUUCUCGUGUCUUUUGACCUUGAUAUGCAUUGAAUUAACUUGAUAUGUUUAUAAAUGAAUUAUAGACAAUUCUACUAGCUUUCUAAAAAGUCUGGGAGCACCUGAAUUGGAUGAUUGAGACUCCAAUUAUGGAUUUUUGAAUUGAGUAGUUGAAUUAUGUCCAAGUCUGGACAUAAUUUACGUUUAGCAUUGUUUGACCUUUCUAAGUGACAAAUCUUGUUGUGAUGAUAAUACCAAGGGUAUAGUGGACUUUAUAAGCUUUCCAUAAAGUCCUAGUUUACUAAUUUUUGAUGCAUAUUUUGUGAGUUAGGAGCAAAACAAUUAACUGCUGUGCUGCUAUCUAGAAUUAUGCAAGCAUUAAGUUGCUCUCUUGAAGUUGCUCUUGUUUGGCUAAGUUUGGUUUAGGCUAUAGGAACAUUAUAUGCCUUGCAUUCAUAUAUACAUUCCUUGAAGUACUUGCAUAUGUCAAUGAUUGAUUUGGUGUCAGGAAAGCUUGGUCCGAGGUAAAUAGGACCGUCUACUAUCUUGGCCGAGUUGGCAGCUGGGCUUAGCACAUGUAAUUGUCGGAAUCAAUGAUCAGAGUACACCAUGUAUUCCAUUCUUUAUGUUGAGGAAGUAUUUGCGGAAUCCAGACCAUCAAAUCGAGCUAGAGCCGAUUCCUGUGUAGCAAGACCAGACUCUAGAGUGUCGUCUGCUGCGUAUCUUAGAAUCCUAGGAGCUUGAGGUGCUGAUGCGGCAGAAGUACUUGAACUUUUCUUUAUGUGUGAGUUUUGUUGAUUCAUUAAUCUUUCUUUUGUUGUUCCGAUAGAAGCGUCAGAAUUCGAGGUCGAAUUUUUUUAAGGGGGGUAGAGUGUGAUACCCAAUUUUCUGAAAAGAAGUUAAAUUUAUUUUUCCCUUUUCUUUCGUGAUCUGUGUAGUUGGGGUUGGAGUUUUUUAGGAAGCAUUCACCAGUAAAACAGUAGAAUACUUGUUGGACUUGUGCGCUGGGGUCAGGAGCAGACGUGAGAGCGAUUUUGGGCCGUGGAUCUCGAUCAUGCGGUGGGGAGCCCAUUAGUUUCCCCCUUAACCCUAGCCGCCCCCUCCCUCUCACUCCCCCACCCCUUUGGCCGCCCCCCUCUCUCUUCCUCUCUUCCACUCUUGCAGCCGACCCAAUUCCUCUCCUCUUGGCUGCAGCCGCCCACUCCCCAUCAAACCCUAGCCACCCCCUUCCCCAAUCCCCCUCCCAAGGUGCAGCCCCUGUCCUUUGGCAUCUCCAUCGAGUGGUGCAAGCCUCUAAUUAGAGAAUUGGUGGAGGAAGAACAAAGAGGUGAAGGAAUAACUCAAGGUGAUCUUAUGUUUAUUUUGUAUUUUUGCUGCGAUUACGUUUGAUUAACCGUUCCCCUAAGUGAAUUGGUGGUAGUGCUGUCCUGAUUUUGGGUGGCAGGCGGACAGAAGUAUUGUGGGCAGUUUCUGGGGUUUUUGCGGCGGUAAUUAGCUGUAAUCACUAUGAUAAUCAUGUAGAGCUUUGUCAUACCUUUCCAACGAGUACUUAUGCGCUCGAUUCGGAGUUAUAAUUUAGGAGAUAUCUUUGUUUGAAUCCGGGUAUGUUGCUGUCCAAAAAACAGAUUUCCGCAGGUGGGCGAACAGCAUUAGUAUUAGCAGAUUCUGGGGAUUUUUCGUGGGAAAUUAGUGAUAAUCAAUAUGAUAAUCAUGUAGAGCUUUGUCAUACCUUUCCAACGAGUACUUAUGCGCUUGAUUCGGAGUUAUAAUUUAGGAGCUAUCGCUGUUUGAAUCCGGGUACGUUAAGUUGCUGUCCAAAAACAGAUUGCAGGAUGUAUCUUGUGGACGGUUUUGGACUAAGUAGAUGUGGGAAUUUAAUUAUCUUUGGAAUACAAAACUUGUGGGGAAUUUUAAGUAGAUGCUUCCGGUGUUUUUGAUUGAUAUCACUGCUGUUAUAAUUUUAAAGUUAUGAAAUUAUCAAGCAGCGCCGCUGCAAUUUGGUGGUGAUGGGGAGAGUUGUCGCUCGCGUCGGGUUGGAAUUGUGCGUAGGUGCGGCAUAUUUAUUAGUGUUUGUUAUGUGAAUUUGUGCACUAAGGUGUGUGUCAAAAACAGGUGGUGGACUUCCGGAUCGUACUUAGUACCAUUCCAAAUUUCCGGUGAAGGCAAGUAAAUACAGUGGUGGUUGCUACCGUUUGGUUUGCAUCCUAUUCCCUGUCAUUGAGUAUGCAUAAGUUUUAAAUAUAUUAAUCAUUGAAUUCUAUGAUGAAGUUUAUUGGUUUGAAAGUAUUAAUUCUCAAUUAUCUAAUAUUGUGGAUGAUCAUAAUUUGGUAAUGAUAUAUGUGGUUGAUUCCCAUCUUGGAUGAAGUUGAAGUGUCUUUUUGAAUCACGUUAUAUGAAGUGUUGUAGGCAUAUCAUGCACAUCGCAUCAUCCAUCUUGCAUUUUGAAGUUAUGUCGUGAUCUUAUGGUCCGACCGUACCGGUACAUUUUUAGCAUCGUACGUUGCCCGAGGAGGGGUACGAUGCGGCUUCAUAUCCUUAGAGGUAUGAAGACAGAAGUCAUCCUUGCAUUUGCAGACAUUUGCACUCAUGAGGAAUAUAUGAAGUGUGACAUUACUAUGUUACUAUUGUGGUUUCUACCUACGAGGUGUGGUAACUAGGUGUGUUGUACGUUGUAUACGUGCUGCACCUUCGUAAUAAGAAGGUUGUGGAAUCAAGUGGUGGUAAAAUAAUGUUCUUAUGUGGUUGAACAGUUUGAUAUUAUUUUACUUGCUGAGAUGUGUCAUCUCACUCUUGCAUUACUCAAUGCAGGUACUUGAUACAUGUUGGGAAUGAGGGGAGUAGCAGCACGUCCACUUUCACUCUCACAAUAACGCUGCCCAGGCGUAGCCAUGAUUUAAUUAGAAACUUAUUGUCAAAGGAAGUUUGUUUUUUUAUAUAGUCGUGCGCACUGGUUAAUUCAGUUCAGGUCGUAUGUUUAUCUUCCCUUGCUAGCCGAUUAAUA